GGUGCGGUAGUACAGCGGUUAGUGCAUUCCCGAGUUUGAGCGAAGAACCCAGGUUCGACUCCUGGCCCCUCG